AUCAGGGGUAGGGGAGCGUUGAAUGCGGGUUGAAGGUGUACCGUAAGGAGCGCUGGACUGCAUUCAAGUGAGAAGGCCGGUAUGAGUAACGAAAAGAUCUGGGAGAAUCAGAUCCGCCGAAAGCCUAAGGGUUCCUGAGGAAGGUUCGUCCGCUCAGGGUAAGUCGGGACCUAAGGCGAGGCCGAUAGGCGUAGUCGAAGGACAACAGGUCGAAAUUCCUGUACCACCGUAAUCCGUUAUGAGCGAUGGGGUGACGCAGUAGGGUAGUGACGCGGACGGAUGGAUGUCCGUCUAAGCAGUGAGGCUGGUGUGUAGGCAAAUCCGCACAUCGUAAGGCUGGGCUGUGAUGGGGAGCGAAAAUUGUAGUAGCGAAGGUCAUGAUCUCAGACUGCCAAGAAAAGCCUCUAGCCAGGAGAAGGUGCCCGUACCGCAAACCGACACAGGUAGGCGAGAAGAGAAUUCUAAGGCGCGCGGAAGAACUCUCGUUAAGGAACUCGGCAAAAUGACCCCGUAACUUCGGGAGAAGGGGUGCCUCGGUAGGGUGAAUAGCCCGAGGGGGCCGCAGUGAAAAGGCCCAAGCGACUGUUUAGCAAAAACACAGGUCUGUGCGAAGCCGCAAGGCGAAGUAUACGGGCUGACGCCUGCCCGGUGCUGGAAGGUUAAGGGGAGUGGUAAGCUCGCAAGAGCGAAGCUAUGAACCGAAGCCCCAGUAAACGGCGGCCGUAACUAUAACGGUCCUAAGGUAGCGAAAUUCCUUGUCAGGUAAAUUCUGACCCGCACGAAUGGCGUAACGACUUGGGCGCUGUCUCAACGAGAGAUCCGGUGAAAUUUUAAUACCUGUGAAGAUGCAGGUUACCCGCGACAAGACGGAAAGACCCCAUGGAGCUUUACUGCAGCUUGAUAUUGAAUUUGGGUACGAUCUGUACAGGAUAGGUGGGAGCCUAAGAGACUUGAGCGCCAGCUUGAGAGGAGGCAUCCUUGGGAUACCACCCUGAUCGUAUCUAGGUUCUAACUUGGUACCGUAAUCCGGUACGAGGACAGUGUCAGGUGGGCAGUUUGACUGGGGCGGUCGCCUCCUAAAGAGUAACGGAGGCGCCCCAAGGUUCCCUCAGAAUGGUUGGAAAUCAUUCGAAGAGUGCAAAGGCAGAAGGGAGCUUGACUGCGAGACCUACAAGUCGAGCAGGGACGAAAGUCGGGCUUAGUGAUCCGGUGGUACCGCAUGGAAGGGCCAUCGCUCAACGGAUAAAAGCUACCCUGGGGAUAACAGGCUUAUCUCCCCCAAGAGUCCACAUCGACGGGGAGGUUUGGCACCUCGAUGUCGGCUCAUCGCAUCCUGGGGCUGAAGUAGGUCCCAAGGGUUGGGCUGUUCGCCCAUUAAAGCGGUACGCGAGCUGGGUUCAGAACGUCGUGAGACAGUUCGGUCCCUAUCUGUCGUGGGCGUAGGAAAUUUGAGAGGAGCUGUCCUUAGUACGAGAGGACCGGGAUGGACGUACCGCUGGUGUACCAGUUGUUCCGCCAGGAGCACCGCUGGGUAGCUAUGUACGGAAGGGAUAAGCGCUGAAAGCAUCUAAGCGUGAAGCCCCCCUCAAGAUGAGAUUUCCCAGUAUGUAAGACCCCUUGAAGACGACGAGGUAGAUAGGUUGGGGGUGGAAGUGCAGUAAUGCAUGGAGCUGACCAAUACUAAUCGGUCGAGGGCUUAUCCUA
rnacentral:rRNA from 1 species